UACGGAGGAUGCAAGCGUUAUCCGGAAUUAUUGGGCGUAAAGCGUCCGUAGGUGGUUUAGUAAGUCUGCUGUUAAAGCGCGGGGCUUAACUCCGUAUCGGCAGUGGAAACUACUAGACUAGAGUGUGGUAGGGGUAGAGGGAAUUCCCAGUGUAGCGGUGAAAUGCGUAGAUAUUGGGAAGAACACCGGUGGCGAAGGCGCUCUACUGGGCCAUAACUGACACUGAUGGACGAAAGCUAGGGGAGCGAAAGGG
rnacentral:rRNA from 1 species